CGUGGAUAAAUAUUUGAUGUUAUAUCUGAAUUUGUAUUUUAAAAUUUUAGAUUUAAUAUAAUAUAUUUUGAAAUAUUAAAAAAAGAAAUAAUUGUUUCGGGUUCGGAUUUUCGGAUUCAGGUUCGGGUUAAGGUUUGGAUUCAGGUUUUGAAUUUUUGGUCGGUUCAGGUUUGGAUAUGAAUUUUUAAAAUCCGUCGGAUUCGGAUUCAGGUUCGGAUUUCGGGUUUGGAGUCGGGUUCGAGUUUGGAUUUUUGAAAAUCAGCUCUGAAUUUGACCCGUUAACA
rnacentral:lncRNA from 1 species